GAUGAACGCUAGCUACAGGCUUAACACAUGCAAGUCGAGGGGCAGCAUGGUCUUAGCUUGCUAAGGCUGAUGGCGACCGGCGCACGGGUGAGUAACACGUAUCCAACCUGCCGUCUACUCUUGGCCAGCCUUCUGAAAGGAAGAUUAAUCCAGGAUGGCAUCAUGAGUUCACAUGUCCGCAUGAUUAAAGGUAUUUUCCGGUAGACGAUGGGGAUGCGUUCCAUUAGAUAGUAGGCGGGGUAACGGCCCACCUAGUCAACGAUGGAUAGGGGUUCUGAGAGGAAGGUCCCCCACAUUGGAACUGAGACACGGUCCAAACUCCUACGGGAGGCAGCAGUGAGGAAUAUUGGUCAAUGGGCGAUGGCCUGAACCAGCCAAGUAGCGUGAAGGAUGACUGCCCUAUGGGUUGUAAACUUCUUUUAUAAAGGAAUAAAGUCGGGUAUGCAUACCCGUUUGCAUGUACUUUAUGAAUAAGGAUCGGCUAACUCCGUGCCAGCAGCCGCGGUAAUACGGAGGAUCCGAGCGUUAUCCGGAUUUAUUGGGUUUAAAGGGAGCGUAGAUGGAUGUUUAAGUCAGUUGUGAAAGUUUGCGGCUCAACCGUAAAAUUGCAGUUGAUACUGGAUGUCUUGAGUGCAGUUGAGGCAGGCGGAAUUCGUGGUGUAGCGGUGAAAUGCUUAGAUAUCACGAAGAACUCCGAUUGCGAAGGCAGCCUGCUAAGCUGCAACUGACAUUGAGG
rnacentral:rRNA from 1 species